rnacentral:rRNA from 1 species
UACGGAGGGUGCAAGCGUUAUCCGGAUUCACUGGGUUUAAAGGGUGCGUAGGCGGGUAUAUAAGUCAGUGGUGAAAACUCCGGGCUUAACUUGGAAACUGCCAUUGAUACUGUAUAUCUUGAAUGUCGUUGAGGUAAGCGGAAUGUUGCAUGUAGCGGUGAAAUGCUUAGAUAUGUUACAGAACACCAAUUGUGAAGACAGCUUACUAAGCGAUGAUUGACGCUGAGGCACGAAAGCGUGGGGAGCAAACAGG